rnacentral:rRNA from 1 species
CCCGCCUGGGGAGUACGGCCGCAAGGUUAAAACUCAAAUGAAUUGACGGGGGCCCGCACAAGCGGUGGAGCAUGUGGUUUAAUUCGAUGCAACGCGAAGAACCUUACCUGGUCUUGACAUCCACGGAAGUUUUCAGAGAUGAGAAUGUGCCUUCGGGAACCGUGAGACAGGUGCUGCAUGGCUGUCGUCAGCUCGUGUUGUGAAAUGUUGGGUUAAGUCCCGCAACGAGCGCAACCCUUAUCCUUUGUUGCCAGCGAUUAGGCCGGGAACUCAAAGGAGACUGCCAGUGAUAAACUGGAGGAAGGUGGGGAUGACGUCAAGUCAUCAUGGCCCUUACGACCAGGGCUACACACGUGCUACAAUGGCGCAUACAAAGAGAAGCGACCUCGCGAGAGCAAGCGGACCUCAUAAAGUGCGUCGUAGUCCGGAUUGGAGUCUGCAACUCGACUCCAUGAAGUCGGAAUCGCUAGUAAUCGUGGAUCAGAAUGCCACGGUGAAUACGUUCCCGGGCCUUGUACACACCGCCCGUCACACCAUGGGAGUGGGUUGCAAAAGAAGUAGGUAGCUUAACCUUCGGGAGGGCGCUUACCACUUUGUGAUUCAUGACUGGGGUGAAGUCGUAACAAGGUAACCGUAGGGGAACCUGCGGUUG